rnacentral:rRNA from 1 species
UACGGAGGGUGCAAGCGUUGUUCGGAAUUACUGGGCGUAAAGGGCGCGUAGGCGGUCUGUUAAGUUCGGUGUGAAAUCCCCUGGCUCAACUGGGGAACUGCGCUGGAAACUGGCAGACUCGAGUACCGGAGAGGAGAGUGGAAUUCCUGGUGUAGCGGUGAAAUGCGUAGAUAUCAGGAGGAACACCGGUGGCGAAGGCGGCUCUCUGGACGGAUACUGACGCUGAGGCGCGAAAGCGUGGGGAUCAAACAGG